AAUAUUCGUCAAUGGGGGAAACCCUGAACGAGCAAUGCCGCGUGAGUGAUGACGGUCUUUAUGAUUGUAAAACUCUGUUGUUAGGGAAGAAACCUUAUCAUAGGAAAUGAUGAUAAGCUGACGGUACCUUUCCAGAAAGCCCCGGCUAACUACGUGCCAGCAGCCGCGGUAAUACGUAGGGGGCGAGCGUUAUCCGGAUUUAUUGGGCGUAAAGCGUGUGUAGGCGGUUUGUUAAGUAUAAGAUUAAAGCCUGAGGCUCAACCUCAGUUCGUCUUAUAAACUGGCAGACUUGAGUAUGGUAGAGGCAAGUGGAAUUUCUAGUGUAGCGGUUAAAUGCGUAGAUAUUAGAAGGAACACCAGUGGCGAAGGCGGCUUGCUGGGCCAUUACUGACGCUGAGACACGAAAGCGUGGGGAGCAAAUAGG
rnacentral:rRNA from 1 species